AGACCCGAAACCCGGUGAUCUAGCCAUGGGCAGGUUGAAGGUUGGGUAACACUAACUGGAGGACCGAACCGACUAAUGUUGAAAAAUUAGCGGAUGACCUGUGGCUGGGGGUGAAAGGCCAAUCAAACCGGGAGAUAGCUGGUUCUCCCCGAAAGCUAUUUAGGUAGCGCCUCGUGAAUUCAUCUCCGGGGGUAGAGCACUGUUUCGGCUAGGGGGCCAUCCCGGCUUACCAACCCGAUGCAAACUGCGAAUACCGGAGAAUGUUAUCACGGGAGACACACGGCGGGUGCUAACGUCCGUCGUGAAGAGGGAAACAACCCAGACCGCCAGCUAAGGUCCCAAAGUCAUGGUUAAGUGGGAAACGAUGUGGGAAGGCCCAGACAGCCAGGAUGUUGGCUUAGAAGCAGCCAUCAUUUAAAGAAAGCGUAAUAGCUCACUGGUCGAGUCGGCCUGCGCGGAAGAUGUAACGGGGCUAAACCAUGCACCGAAGCUGCGGCAGCGACACUGUGUGUUGUUGGGUAGGGGAGCGUUCUGUAAGCCUGUGAAGGUGGCCUGUGAGGGUUGCUGGAGGUAUCAGAAGUGCGAAUGCUGACAUAAGUAACGAUAAAGCGGGUGAAAAGCCCGCUCGCCGGAAGACCAAGG
rnacentral:rRNA from 1 species